rnacentral:misc_RNA from 1 species
UUCUGUUUUCAUCUUCCAUUCAGACGUCAAGACAAAUUUCUGCAUAAAGACGGCGCCGGGGGCGCCGAAGCACACGUUCGCUUCCACGGUUUUGGUGUUUGAAGGCACGAGGGGCCAUUCUAUAAUGAUCCCUCCGCAGGUUCACCUACGGAGA